rnacentral:lncRNA from 1 species
GCAAUGCAGACAGUGGAUGAGAAGACAGGGCACCGGAGUGAGCCAGGGCGACCCGGCAAUGAUGCAGACAAUGACGUGUUGCUGCCUUCCACUGACCAACAGGAAGAUGUGGAAGCGAGUGCUUACCUGCACCUGCGGGGCAGGAGGGAAACAGACACAUCCACAAGGAGCUGAAGGUGUCCGCCCCCAGACCCCGUGAGGACCACCGAUUCGCAGUGCCCAGCACACUGCAGAAGUUCAACAGAUACACGUUCGAUGGCUGGAUCUAGUUACCAGUGUUUUUGUUAAAAAGUUAAUGUCGCAAUAAAGCAAUUCGUUUUUCCCCCCCUUUUCAGACAUAAACUAGAG